UAUUCUAAUGCAAAUCGGCCAUGCUUGCAGAAUUUGAACAUUCUUUCUUUCAGGCAAUGAUCUUUAAGAGUAUUAUAACCUAGAGAAACACUUGGAUGCAUUUCUCCACGAAGUGUAACUUACUGUGCUAAUGACUUUGAAGUUGAUAAAGGCUCGUUCAUUGUUAAAAUAAAUAACACAACAGGCAAGUUUCACCAGUUUUCAACACUUGCAGUGCAGAAGAACGAUAUCAGAUUGGUCAGUAUUCAGCUGAACAUGGUAACACCAAGGCAGCAACCUUCUUUACUCAAAUUUUGAAAAAGAUUUUGAUGAAAGUGUAGCAAGAAGAUUCCAAAAGCUGUGUUUUGAGUCCUCAUCAAAGUAUUCCUACAAAGUGCAUUUUAAUCAGUCAGUAUUAAUUUUAAUACAAGUUUUAUAUGGAACGCUAUAGGUUUGUGUUUGUUCUUAAAUUACAAACAUUAAAGCAUACUUUAUACUUUGGUUUAAAAGAUGAAAAUAAAUUACUACUCCAUUGUACUUUGUACAAAAACCAGAAUUAUGAAUACUGCUUAAAAUUGUAACAACCUAACAAGAUAAAAUGAAAUAUAUCCUUAUGAAAUAUGCACUGUAAAUGUCCUGAAGAAAUUUGUUUAUCUGCAUUUAACUUCUUAUAAAUACUCUCUACUUCCCUGUACGUUAUUAUAUUUCCUGCUUAGUUCUAGAUUAUUUUAGAUGUCUACUUCAAAUUCAUACUAAAUUGGAUGAUAUAUUACUGAUACCUAGACUUUUUUUGCCUAACAUAGUAUACGUACAAUGCAAGUAUGUAUUUGAAACUGCAACUACAGACUUCAGAUGAGUGAUAAUCUUAGUGACCAGUGUACAAGUCAUUCUAAGAUACAUGCAACCACACUGUUUUUAUUUCUUGAGGAAGGCAUAAACUGAUAUGUUCUGUUAAUAAUUAUUUAUUAGAAAUUUUUGAUCAUGUUUUAUUUUUCAAAUAAUUGAAAUAUUCUAGAAAAAGUGUGUGACAGAACCCAGGCAACAUUGUUUUUACUGAAGUAAGAAGUUUGGUCACUGCAAUAAUUACACAAUUGAAGACAUAAAAUUUUGUUUUUUUUAUCCUUAUACUAAGUGCUUUUUUUACAAUAUUUACUAAAAGUUUAUAUAUCUAUCUAUUUAUAUUAUGGAUAGAUAAUUGAGUAACUGAAUUAUAAAUACUCUUGUGUAAUUGGUACAGUUAAUGACUGUAUAAUGCUUUCUCUGAAGAAUGAAUCUCUGUACUGAAGAAUUUGUAAAAUUGUUAAUUAAGUCUUGUGUGUCUUAAAAGGAAAUAAAGCUUAUUUUGUUACACGAGUAUUUGUAAUUAAAGCAUUUUGAUAUAUGCUAUUUGAACUGUUACCAAAGGCAAAAACGUGCCAAUGAAAUCAACAGUCAGUCCACCUAUAGAGGACUUUCACCCGUGUGAUGUCAAUGUUUAGAUGCCAUAUCGCAGGUCACUCAACAGCUCUAAGCAUGAGCGAGAAACACCUAAUGUUAUUCAUCUUGUACAUGAUUCUAAAAUUGUUCCUGAAGAUGCUGAGGGAAUAAUACUUGGUACAUCUGGAGGACGUCGUCGCCGCUCUUAUAACUCGUAUAGUAAUGAAGAGCGUUUUCUGAUUGCUCAGUAUGCAGCCAAACAUGGAAACACCAAUGCAGCUGUUUAUUAUAGCAAAAUAUUGAAGAAGGAAAUCUCUGAAAGUGUUGCCAGAAGAUUCAAGAACAUUUACUUUAAGUCCAAGAAGUGAUAUCAAAUCAAACGUAUACUAACUGUUAAUUGGAUGCAGAAGGACUACCUGUAAGCCAGUCAGCAGAUUUCACCUUUCCCAAAGUUCGAGGGAAGGGAUUCCAGUGUCAUAUUUGUGGCAAAAUGUUCACAACACGCUGGUAUCGUAACAGACAUAUAGCUGUGCAUGGUGGGUUACGACCAGAAUAUAGAUGUAAUAUUUGUAAUAAAGUGUUCCAUUGGAAAGUUAAUGUGAUUCGCCAUCAAGCAACUGUUCAUAAGGAAGAGUGUUAUAUGAAUGACUUAUAAAAAUGCUUUGCGUGUUACUCGGUUCUGUUUGGAAUCUUUUGUUUUAUUUUUCAGAGGUUUUUGUACUUGAAAAUAUUCUAAUAAAGGUAUUUUAUGAUCAGUAUAAUAAGUAGGAUUUCAUUGUUGAGGCUUAAGAAAUAUUGAUGUUAAAUCUUAAACCAACCUAAAACUCAAUAUACCUCAGUAAAAAAUAUCAACAAUACAAUUACAACAGACUGUUUUUGUUAUAAUUACACAGUGUAACGUGCCCAUUCUUUUUUAUGUUAUUAAAGUAGCACAGCUGUUCAGGAUACAUUUCUAGCUUCUUUUGUUCAAAAUAGAAAUAUUAAUGCACUAUAUGGGAACCAUACCUUCUUUCAUUCUGAACUGUAAGAUGUAACAACAAAGACAUUUAUCUGAACUCAUACAUCCA
rnacentral:lncRNA from 1 species